rnacentral:rRNA from 1 species
GACGAACGCUGGCGGCGUGCUUAACACAUGCAAGUCGAACGGAAAGGCCCUGCUUUUGUGGGGUGCUCGAGUGGCGAACGGGUGAGUAACACGUGAGUAAUCUGCCCUUGACUUUGGGAUAACUUCAGGAAACUGGGGCUAAUACCGGAUAGGAGCUCCUGCUGCAUGGUGGGGGUUGAAAAGUUUCGGCGGUCGGGGAUGGACUCGCGGCUUAUCAGCUUGUUGGUGGGGUAGUGGCUUACCAAGGCUUUGACGGGUAGCCGGCCUGAGAGGGUGACCGGCCACAUUGGGACUGAGAUACGGCCCAGACUCCUACGGGAGGCAGCAGUGGGGAAUAUUGCACAAUGGGCGGAAGCCUGAUGCAGCAACGCCGCGUGCGGGAUGACGGCCUUCGGGUUGUAAACCGCUUUCGCCUGUGACGAAGCGUGAGUGACGGUAAUGGGUAAAGAAGCACCGGCUAACUACGUG